CCUACGGGUGGCAGCAGUGGGGAAUAUUGGACAAUGGGGGCAACCCUGAUCCAGCCAUGCCGCGUGUGUGAAGAAGGCCCUCGGGUUGUAAAGCACUUUCAGUGAGGAAGAACGCCUGGUGGUUAAUACCCAUCAGGAAAGACAUCACUCACAGAAGAAGCACCGGCUAACUCCGUGCCAGCAGCCGCGGUAAUACGGAGGGUGCGAGCGUUAAUCGGAAUUACUGGGCGUAAAGCGCGCGUAGGUGGCUUGAUAAGCCGGUUGUGAAAGCCCCGGGCUCAACCUGGGAACGGCAUCCGGAACUGUCAAGCUAGAGUGCAGGAGAGGAAGGUAGAAUUCGCGGUGUAGCGGUGAAAUGCGUAGAGAUCGGGAGGAAUACCAGUGGCGAAGGCGGCCUUCUGGCCUGACACUGACACUGAGGUGCGAAAGCGUGGGUAGCAAACAGGAUUAGAUACCCUAGUAGUC
rnacentral:rRNA from 1 species